CGUCACCGUCUUCCUUUUUUUGGUUUUUGCUAUCACGGAAGGAAUAUUUAUAUUCAGCGACUUUCGACUUUGUUCGGCAGGAAUCUAUUCAUUCUCAGAGAGACACCUUAGAGAAAGAUUGUACAAGUGUUUUGAGUCAGAUCACUGCCAAGUGCAAGAAAGAUUGUCAUGAAUCCCCAGGUUGUUCUACUGCUCAUGCUGGUAGCCGUCCCCUGCACAUCUGCGAUAACUUGUCGAGGCGAUCAGAUUGCUUGUGCAAAUCAACAAAAGUGUAUCCCAGCGUCUUACCGCUGCGAUGGAGACACUGACUGUAGUGAUGGAUCAGACGAACAAUGCA